rnacentral:lncRNA from 1 species
AUUCCGGAUUCUUCUGUGUCUGACGCUCCAGUAGCUCCCGCCUGGCUUAGAGGAAGAAGAGGCCAAAGGAGAGACACCUGCCUUAUGCCCGUUUGUGGCAGCGCGGCUCGCCUCGCUGUGAUUGGUGGCCACAAUGAAGACUGCAACCUGGCCUGAGCGGUUGAUUUGAGUUCAUCAAGAGGAAGAUUAUCCUGGGUGGGCCUGGCCUAAUCAGGUGACCCUUAGAAGUCAAAGAGAGUUGAAGAGUGAGAGACAGCCACCUGCUGGCCUUGAAGGAGAAAACAUCCAUGCUGUGAAUUGCCUAUGGACUUUGAGUGUGGUCUCUAAAAGAUAAAAGCAGCUCCUGGACAACCACCAGCAAGGAAGCCGGGGCUUCAGUCCUACAACCACAACGAACUGAAUUCUGCCAACAACUGGAAAAAGUUUGAAAGAGAACUCUGAACCUCAGAUGAGAUCACAGCUUCAGCAACACCUUAACUUUAAACUUGUGACACAUUGAGAAGAAAAUCAGGCCAUUCCUGGCCUGUUAACUUACAGAACUAUGACCUAAUGGAGGGGUGUUGUUUAAAGCCACUAAGUUUGUGGUUAUUUGUUAUGGAGCAAUAGAAAACCAAUAUACUGCCGGGCACAGUGGCUUAUGCCUAUAAUCCCAGCACUUUGGGAGGCCAAGGCGGGCGGAUCACCUGAGGCCAGGAGUUCAAGACCAGCCUGGCCAACAAGGUGAAACCCCAUCCUUACUAAAUCAGCCAGGUGUGGUGGCAGGUGCCUGUAAUCCCAGCUACUCAGGAGGCUGAGGCAGGGGGAUCACUUGAACCUGGAAGCUGGAGGUUGUAGUGAGCCGAAAUUGAGCCAUAGCACUCCAGACUGGGUGACAGAGUAAGACUCCAUCUCAACAACAACAACAAAAAUACACUGUCAGCAUCUCUGUAAAUGGUACCUUUAUUAAACUCUUCAUAAGGCCGGGCGCAGUGGCUCAUGCCUGUAAUCCCAGCACUUUGGGAGGCCGAGGCGGGCGGAUCACGAGGUCAGGAGAUCGAGACCAUCCUGGCUAACACCGUGAAACCCCGUCUCUACUAAAAAUACAAAAAAUUAGCCGGGCGAGGUGGCGGGCGCCUGUAGUCUCAGCUACUCAGGAGACUGAGGCAGGAGAAUGGCGUGAACCUGGGAGGUGGAGCUUGCAGUGAGCACUCCAGCCUGGGCGACUGAGCGAGACUCCGUCUCAAAAAAAAAAAAAAA